UUAAGGUUUUAAGUGCCCGUCGGUACGGACCGUAUCCACCGUACCGUACCGUACCAACAAGAUACCGGCACGAUACAGACUCUGUGCCGAUGACACAGUUCAAAACCCUCUAUUCUUUAAAUUAGUAAGUAAUUUUCUCAAUAAAGCUCAAAAGAUGUGAUAAAAAGACAUAAUAAAUAGUUAGAAUAUUUUGUUGCUAAAAAAAAUAAAUAUUUCAUGUUACUAUGUGUGGGCACAUAAGAAUUUUUUGACCGGCACGCAUCGGCACGACUCGGCAUGCACCGCGCCGGCAAGUUUCCGGCACGACCCCAUGCCACGGCACUUAAAUCCUUGCAUGUGAUGCUUUUAUCUCUUU
rnacentral:lncRNA from 1 species